GCUCAUUAAAUCAGUUAUCGUUUAUUUGAUAAUACCUUACUACUUGGAUAACCGUGGUAAUUCUAGAGCUAAUACAUGCUGAAAAUCCCGACUUCGGAAGGGAUGUGUUUAUUAGAUAAAAAACCAAUGCCCUUCGGGGCUUUUUGGUGAUUCAUGAUAACUUUACGGAUCGCAUAGCCUUGCGCUGGCGACGGUUCAUUCAAAUUUCUGCCCUAUCAACUUUCGAUGGUAAGGUAUUGGCUUACCAUGGUUUCAACGGGUAACGGGGAAUUAGGGUUCGAUUCCGGAGAGGGAGCCUGAGAAACGGCUACCACAUCCAAGGAAGGCAGCAGGCGCGCAAAUUACCCAAUCCCGACACGGGGAGGUAGUGACAAUAAAUACUGAUACAGGGCUCUUUUGGGUCUUGUAAUUGGAAUGAGUACAAUUUAAACCUCUUAACGAGGAACAAUUGGAGGGCAAGUCUGGUGCCAGCAGCCGCGGUAAUUCCAGCUCCAAUAGCGUAUAUUAAAGUUGUUGCAGUUAAAAAGCUCGUAGUUGAAACUUGGGCCUGGCUGGCGGGUCCGCCUCACCGCGUGCACUCGUCCGGCCGGGCCUUCCUUCUGAAGAACCUCAUGCCCUUCACUGGGCGUGCUGGGGAAUCAGGACUUUUACUUUGAAAAAAUUAGAGUGUUCAAAGCAGGCCUUUGCUCGAAUACGUUAGCAUGGAAUAAUAAAAUAGGGCGUGCGUUUCUAUUUUGUUGGUUUCUAGAGACGCCGCAAUGAUUAACAGGAACAGUCGGGGGCAUCAGUAUUCAGUUGUCAGAGGUGAAAUUCUUGGAUUUACUGAAGACUAACUACUGCGAAAGCAUUUGCCAAGGAUGUUUUCAUUAAUCAGUGAACGAAAGUUAGGGGAUCGAAGACGAUCAGAUACCGUCGUAGUCUUAACCGUAAACUAUGCCGACUAGGGAUCGGGCGAUGUUCUUUUUCUGACUCGCUCGGCACCUUACGAGAAAUCAAAGUUUUUGG
rnacentral:rRNA from 1 species